UGCCUGCAAGGGAACACAGCACAGCUGAGCUUUGCCCCUUGAGCAGAGCCCAGAGGCCAGGAUCUAACAUCAGAAGAGUCAGAAGUUGGGUCAGAAGGCAAGGAUGAGAAGCUGUGCUUCUCCCUGUCUCUGGGAAUUUGGGAAUCACAGCACCACACAGAAACCCUUGCCCUGACACCUCUUUGCAUCUUCCCGAAGCCAGAGCCCGCCGCAGCAAGGCUGGAUGUGCCGGUCACAGGGCGAGCUCCGGGUCGGCUCCUUGCGACAUCCCAGCAUCCCUUCCCGCUCCCUCCUGCUCUCUCAUUAAUUGCGUUUCCCGUCCCUUUGUGAGCAGGAGCGGGCAGCUGUGAUGGAGCAGCCAUCUGCAGCGCCCGCCCCGGGAAACAGCCUCGCAGCUGCGCGCGCCUGGUACCGGCGGUACCCGGACGAGGUCAUUCAUCACCAGGAGCCCGGGCAAGGAAGCUUGGCAGGGAAAAGGGAGGAUGGCAACCACAGGAGGCAAACCUUAUAUAUACUCUGCCACAGCGGGUGCUGUAUCCGCAGCCUCGAAGCUGUUUUCCUCCUGCUGUUACAGAAGGAUGGCAUGCGUUCCUUGUGUCCCGUGUGGAUGGAGCAGCCCCAGUAUGCCUCCAUCGAGCCUGUCAGAGGGAAGAAUGAGCCAUGCCCCAGGGCCAGCUCUGUCCCAAGAGCUAGGAAUGGGAUAUGGCAAGGGCAUCCCUUCUCAAGAAGCAUGGCAACAGGGGAUGAGUGUUUAAAUCAGCAAUGCAGCACAUUGGGUUAUGUUGGGUGGUGAUGGAGGGUGCCUUUCUGGUGCACUCAUGGAGGCCUUUCCUUCCCGUCUUUCCCUGCUCUGUAGACUCACGUAUGCUAAUGGGAAAUUACAGAAGAGAGCAAAAUACGUGAGUUCAGCCCUACAGGUACUUAUGGGCCUCUGACUCUGCUGGCUCUGGUUACGUGAAAUGCUGCUGAAGGCUCUGACCCGCUUUCCCCGUUGUCUCUCCUGCAGCAGGUGAAGGUCCCCAUCAUGGAUGGCCUUGGAGCGAGGACACAGUGAUGGGGAGCUCAUGUUUGCCACCCGCAUCCUGCUCCAGCUUCCCCGUUAUCACAGACAGUGAUGCCCGUAACAGGCUCUUAUGGCUCUAGUCUCUUUUCUUGCCCUCCCAGUUCACCAAGAAGAGAGUGGGCACCAGGAGCUGAUGAGGAACAGGAGGUGACCACCCCAGAACCCUAUCUGCAGGACCCUGGACACAGAUGCCACCACCAGACCCAUCACUGGACACAACUUUGCUCCUGCAAGCUGGGAUGCAGUCACCUUCACGGCAGAAAGAGGUCGGUGUCAUCCAAGGUCACACAUUUGUGCAGGAGAACAACUGCCAGAGCUCAGUGCUUUCAAAUCAUCUUUAACUACAGAGCAGCAUCUUUAAGCUCUGGGUUUAAUAUGAAAGACUCCAUUGACUGAUGCCCUGAGAGGAAUCCUGGCAUCCCAAGGAUGAUUCUUCCCUCCAUCCCCAGGCUGAGGCCACAUUGUCUGCAGGAGCUAAUGGGACCCUGGUGGAGAUUCCCCCUGGAUGAGCCUGCGGCUGGUUUCCCAGGAGCUACCAGCAUCCCGAGGAGGAGAGGGAGCAGGAGCUGACACUUCCUGACACUGGCUGCUCUCCUGGCCCCCGGGAGCUCCUCAGGAAUGGUUUUAAAGUAAUAUUUAUGGAUGAUCCUGGUGGAUCGGGCCCUAAAAGGUACAGAGAAAGGGCUGUUGUUCAUUACCAUUUGGAAACUGUGCACUGAGGAGUUCCCUGCGGAGGGGCAAAAGCAAUGGAGUGAAAGUGAAGCAGCUUUCAAGUUAAUCCAGAUCUUUUUGAGCAUUGUUGUUGUUGGUAAAACUCAGAACCUUAUUUUUGAUGGAGAAAAAAAAGAAUUGCAUUUUUGGAGAUGGUUUUCCUCAAAAUGGUUUUCUUUCCACCAUUCCAUGCUGAGGUUCCUUAGCAAAGAUAUUUGUUCUUACUCAUAUA